rnacentral:rRNA from 1 species
UACGUAGGGUGCAAGCGUUAAUCGGAAUUACUGGGCGUAAAGCGUGCGCAGGCGGUUAUGUAAGACAGAUGUGAAAUGCCCGGGCUUAACCUGGGAACUGCAUUUGUGACUGCAUGGCUAGAGUUUGGCAGAGGGGGGUAGAAUUCCAGGUGUAGCGGUGAAAUGCGUAGAUAUCUGGAGGAACACCGGUGGCGAAGGCGGCAUCCUGGACCAACACUGACGCUGAGUGAGCGAAAGCCAGGGGAGCAAAGCGGG